rnacentral:rRNA from 1 species
CAGCCGCCGCGGUAAUACGUAGGGUGCAAGCGUUAAUCGGAAUUACUGGGCGUAAAGCGUGCGCAGGCGGUUUGUUAAGGCAGAUGUGAAAUCCCCGGGCUCAACCUGGGAACUGCAUUUGUGACUGGCGGGCUAGAGUAUGGCAGAGGGGGGUAGAAUUCCACGUGUAGCAGUGAAAUGCGUAGAGGUGUGGAGGAAUACCGAUGGCGAAGGCAGCCCCCUGGGCCAAUACUGACGCUCAUGCACGAAAGCGUGGGGAGCAAACAGGAUUAGAUACCCGCGUAGUCCCUGUCUCUUAUAC